GAUGAACGCUGGCGGCGUGCCUAAUACAUGCAAGUCGAGCGAACAGACGAGGAGCUUGCUCCUCUGACGUUAGCGGCGGACGGGUGAGUAACACGUGGAUAACCUACCUAUAAGACUGGGAUAACUUCGGGAAACCGGAGCUAAUACCGGAUAAUAUAUUGAACCGCAUGGUUCAAUAGUGAAAGACGGUUUUGCUGUCACUUAUAGAUGGAUCCGCGUCGCAUUAGCUAGUUGGUAAGGUAACGGCUUACCAAGGCAACGAUGCGUAGCCGACCUGAGAGGGUGAUCGCCCACACUGGAACUGAAACACGGUCCAGACUCCUACGGGAGGCAGCAGUAGGGAAUCUUCCGCAAUGGUCGAAAGCCUAACGGAGCAACGCCGCGUGAGUGAUGAAGGUCUUCGGAUCGUAAAACUCUGUUAUUAGGGAAGAACAAAUUUGUAAGUAACUAUGCACGUCUUGACGGUACCUAAUCAGAAAGCCACGGCUAACUACGUG
rnacentral:rRNA from 1 species